GUGUCUUGACUUAUUAUAUAAGGUAGUAGAUUUCAACCCUUCCUUCACUUUUGACAAGUAAAAGUGUCCACAAAUUCUUUCAAACGACACACGGAUUGUAAACUAAAUUUUUGCGGUAAAAUUUUCUGUGGCUAGAUUUUUUACACAGACGUCGACUGAGUUUGUGUGUGUAAUAAGAAUUUGCGGUAAAACUAAAUGCGAGUUAAAACUGACAAAUAUAACGGUUUGCUUCAUGUGAAAACGACAAAAAAAAGUAUACGUGAGCAAUUAAGGUUUCGUUUUCAAAGUGUUUCGCCUACCGUACCAAUGUUUGUAGCCAGUAAUAUAGGACAGUUUAUGUACAUGUGUAUGGCUAUGCUAUGUGCUGUUGCAGCAGAAACCAUGUUUUACCGAUCUGGUGACAUCUUGGUAGAGAUUGAGGGGUCGGGAUCAACAGAACAAUGUUAUGUAUACGGACACAGAGAUAUUAUAAACCAAAUACUGAAGGAAGAGAAAUCAUCAGCUGUUACACCAAUCACACACCAGGAAAUCCAUAGCAUCAUCAAAUCCUGUACUACAAAUGUUAACACUCUUUUAAAAGUCUCCACCACAAAGAGAUAUAAAAGACAAUUAAUUUACCCGGGAACCAAAUGGUGCGGCGCUGGUAACAUAUCAUCAAAUUAUUCUGAUUUAGGUGAACACGCUGAAACAGACCAAUGCUGUAGAGAACAUGAUUAUUGCCCAGACUAUAUACUACCAUUCAAAUCAAAACAUGGUUUAACUAACUAUGGUUUAAUCUCCAAAUCCCACUGCGAUUGUGAUAACACCUUUUACAACUGUCUCAAAGCCACCACAGAGAAAGCUGGCAAUGAAGUCGGUCAUUUGUUUUUCAAUAUUCUAGAGAUACCCUGUUUUAAAGUGUUCGAUGUUGAAACCUGUCUAAAGAAGGGGUGGUGGUUUACUUGUAAUAAAAGAGGACGUGCUAAACGUGCGAGAUUUAUCUCAAAUAAACGAUUUUAAUUUCUCUUUUUUAUCAUCUGAGUUUAUUUUAUAUAUUUUCUUUAUAUUCUCUACGUUGAAUUUUCUAAUAAAGAUUAGCAUUGUUUCAAUAUUUAUGUAGACAAAAAAGAUACUAAUCCGAAAGGAAGUUCUAAAUUUACAUUCAGAACUGACCAUUACUAUCUGAUUAUUGUGGGUAUCAAUCUCAUUAGACUGGUUUUGAAUAUUCACAAAUAAAAUAUUAGAACAUAAAAAAAGUUAGAAACGAAACGAAAUAUAGUCACUAAGGCCCAAUUCAAAAUCAACCAACGGCAUAGUUCCGACUAGAGCUGGACGGUAAAUCCCACCACAGCGGAAAAUGUAAAAUCCUUUCGGGGGUUGGUGCAUCCAUAGUCGUCCAUAUGUGACGAAACACAUUAAAAUGCACAUAAAAGAACCCCUGACUGAUAUCCGGUACACAUUUCAAUUUUAGCACAUUAUGUCCACAAGUUGACCAGAAACAUGGGACGUUUUAAAAAAUCCCAUUUCAUUCCCUAGCGAGUAUAAAUUUACAAUCUAAUAUAAACCCAUAAUUGGUAUUGAACUUCAUAUUCAUAACUGACGAAAUAAUCAGUCUUUCUCAAUUCCAAACAACCAAUCAAUCGUUUAGUCCAUGGAGCGCCGAACGUCGCGUGGUAUGGGAAAUUUGCCGUCCCCGAGAAAACUUUGAAAGUUUAACCGCCGCAGAUGCUCUUCUCUGCUGGGGGAUCACGUAGCUAAGUGGGUAAGACGCUGGCUCGCUAGGGAGGUCGGGUGUUCGAUCCCUGCAUUGCCCGAGAAAGUUCAUCCCGAUUUUCCGGCGUGGUUUCCCCUUGUCAGUGAUGCAGGACGGAGGGCCUGACAAGGACAGCUGUCAAGUCGUUCGGAUGGGACGAAAAACCGAGGUCCCGUGUACACAUUGACGUGCACGUAAAAGAUCCCUUGGCAGUUGGAAUUCGAUAUAAGAGUAGGCCGUAGCGCCGCUGCCAGGGCAAAAUUUCCCUU